ensembl:lncRNA SATB1-AS1 SATB1 antisense RNA 1
CUUAGCUGAUUUUUCUUCUUGCCUUAUACUGGGUUCUUUAACACCAGAACAAAAAUAAAUAAAUAAAAGAAUCUUCCAGAAAUUCAUGAAGAGACUUCAGGUCAGGAAAGCCUGAACUUUCUCAUCCAACACCCGUUCAAGUCGGAGGAUGCUGAUUAAUUCAUGAUGGAAAGGUAUCAAUUUCACAGCCCAGACCUCUACAUUCUUGAAAUGCUCUUCUCAUGGGAGACAUUAAAUAAGCUUUGAAUUAACUGAAUGUACAGGGUGUACCAUGAACAAUUCUGACAUGUGAUUUAAUCUAUGUGGGACUACAUUUUAAAUACAUUUGGGAAGGAUUGAACAAUGAAGUGGAGCCCAUCAAUAUUGGUACUGAAAAUGAGACAUAAGCCCUUAAGUAAAAGUGCCAUCAAAUGAUUUCUCAGAAAUUAUAAAGAAACAAAAGGACCAUAAACAAGAUAAGGUGGCAUGAGGAAACAUUACAAGUACCUUUCAGAGCUGACUGGCAAAGAAACUCCUGAGGUGACGGUUCUACCCCAAUAUUACUUCUUCGAAGAGCAACCUAACUGACCUUGUAUUGAAGACAGCGUAACCCCCAAGAGGAAAGGAGCUUGGAGCCCUGAAUCAGAGUAGAAGACAGGCUGAAUGAAUACCAGCCUUGGACUGUUGUGUGAAUGAAAAACAAGUUUUGAGAUUUGUGUGGUUUAUUUAUUAUAGUUACUGUUAUUAUUAAAGUUUUUCACUGCUUUACUCU